CAGUAGCCACGGGAAUACGAAGGGUGCAAGCGUUAAUCGGAGUUACUGGGCGUAAAGCGUGCGUAGGCGGUUUGUUAAGUCUGCUGUGAAAUCCCCGGGCUCAACCUGGGAAUGGCAAUGGAUACUGGCAAGCUAGAGUGUGUCAGAGGAUGGUGGAAUUCCCGGUGUAGCGGUGAAAUGCGUAGAGAUCGGGAGGAACAUCAGUGGCGAAGGCGGCCAUCUGGGACAACACUGACGCUGAGGCACGAAAGCGUGGGGAGCAAACAGGAUUAGAUACCCCCGUAGUCCCUGUCUCUUAUAC
rnacentral:rRNA from 1 species